CUCCUCUCUGAGUCGCGCCUGGAGAGUUUUCAGUACUCUACCAGUCUCGACUAUGGGAGGGAAAGCCAAACAGAGGCAUGCACAUUCCACUCCUAGCUUGGGCAGUGGCUAGCAAGUGGAAGGCAAUCCGCUUCAAGU